rnacentral:lncRNA from 1 species
CAGGGCUCCGCAUGCGGGGCAGGAGCCGAAGGCUGGGGCACGCCCGAUCGAAAGCUCCAGUGUUUAUCGAAUCUGACAGCAAAGACUCAGACACAUCUAAUGUGAUAAGAAGGGAGCCUGAGGGGAUAACGGACAAUUCUGGCCAUGGUUGAAUAGAGAACAAGGUGAGCUUCUGAGAGUAGGGCAAACCAAGGCAGGUUAGGGGGCAUUUGAGAUGUUGGAAUAGGUUCGGUCAAGCCUGUAAGAGUUGAUUGAAGGUUGGCCAAGUAGCCGUGGAUGGGUCGGGUGAAUGGGAGUGACUCAGCACAGUGUGGUCUGGCAGCUGUGGGGUGGGAACAGAGCAACCAGCAGGACGGCUGGGGGCCUGGCCAAUGAGGCAACAGGACGGGGAGAGGGUGGGAAAAGAGGUGCAGAUGCUACAGAGAGCAGUGGUGAAAGGGUCAGCCAUGGGCUCCAGGUGGGGCGGGCAGGUCUGGAAAGCAGAAGGAGAGAGGAGAGGGGAGUAGAUAGGCAGGAGGAUGGUCAAGGCAAGGGAGAACAGGGUUCAUAGGCUUGAGGGAUUGGUGGUGGAGGGAGAAAGAGGGAAGUGGUUAAGGGAGGGAAGCUCAGAGCUGCAGAUCUGGGAGAAGGAGCAGCACGCAGCGGUUCCAAACACCAAGGUCUGGCUUUGCUGGCAGUGGCUUGACUGGAGGAAAGAGAAAAGCCAGGGAGGUUGAGGGUGUGAAGAUGGAAAGAUGAUUUCCUGUUGGGUGGAAUUCUGUCCAGAGAGACGGUUGAGAGGGGAUGGCAGAACUGCUGAUUGUAAGGAGAACUUGAAGCCAGACCUUGUCUGCCCUCCCCUGCACCGGGGAGUCUGUGAAGGGGACUGGAGCCUGCUGGGCAGGACAUGUGGCCAUUCUGUCGCCUGAGGAAGGGAAAAGAACAUCAACCUUAAUUAAUAUCUGCUAUGUUUAUAUAAUUUAAUUCUCUUCAUGACUCUCCAAGGUAGGUAUUGUGUAAAGCACAGAUGAUGAAACCAAGGCAGAGAGAAGCAGGAUAACUUGCCCAGGUUUCACACAGCAAGUGGGGGAGUGUGGUCAGAAUUGGAACCAGGUCCAUUGAUGCCAAAGUCUGAGGCUCCACAGGUAACUGGGGCAGAGGUUAAUUCCAUUAGGAGGAUUAUAAAAUCUACAGGUAAACGGUAACUAGUACUGAUGGC